UAAAAAGCUUUGAUAAAGAGGAGUAAAGGCUUGGAGUAUUAAGAGAGGAAAGUUCUAAGGCUGAGAGACUUUCUAUACAAAUUGCCUUGAAGGUAGCUUUGGAGCUUCUUGCUUGAAUUUUAGUAAAGCAAGACGGUUUUCUUAACUGUUAAAAAUUUAAGAGCCUAUCGACUUGUGUCUGUAGGAAAAAAGGUGGUACCGCGAUUAUGUCUUCGUCCUUUUA
rnacentral:ncRNA from 1 species